UUUGUUAACAGUUCGCAUUUAUUGAGUGCUUGCCGUGGCCAGGCACUGUGCUAAGAACUUGACCCGCACCAUCUCCUUGAAUCUUUAUUCUCACAACAGCCCUUUGAGUAGCUACUAUUUAUUGGACCCAUUUUUGCAGAUGGAGAACCAAGGUAUAGACAGGUUCAAAAUUACACAGAUAAUGAAUAAAAGAACAGGCCUUUGGAACUCAGUUCUCGCUUUGGAGAAAACAAAAGCUUGUGGGAAGGAAAGAAGAAGAGGGAAGUUGAGUCUACCACUAAGAGCGGACGAUGGUCGAGUAGAGCCCCAGAUAGAAGACAAAGGAGGUAAAAGGCCACAAUCUUUCCCUGCUGACUCGGGAAUAGUCAUCUUUCUCCCCAGGACUCAAUCUCUUUGCAUCCUGAAUGUUG
rnacentral:lncRNA from 1 species